AGCAGAGUGGCGCAGCGGAAGCGUGCAGGGCCCAUAACCCAGCGGUCUGAUGGAUCGAAACCAUGCUCUGCUA